UACGGAGGAUCCGAGCGUUAUCCGGAUUUAUUGGGUUUAAAGGGAGCGUAGGUGGAUUGUUAAGUCAGUUGUGAAAGUUUGCGGCUCAACCGUAAAAUUGCAGUUGAGACUGGUGGUCUUGAGUGGAUGAGAAGUACGCGGAAUGCGUGGUGUAGCGGUGAAAUGCAUAGAUAUCACGCAGAACUCCGAUUGCGAAGGCAGCGUACCGGCAUCCAACUGACGCUGAGGCACGAAAGCGUGGGGAUCAAACAGG
rnacentral:rRNA from 1 species